AGGAGAGUCAGCUGGGAAAUGUAGUUCUCUCUCCGUGUCCCGCUUGUCUCCACGACUGCACGGACUGUCGAGACCUCGUGACUGUGAAGUCCUCUAUAUCCCGCAGACUGGAGGGGCCGGAGGGAAGGGCAAAAGAAAGAUCAGCACUGGACGGCCUCCUGGCAUCCGAGAUGCACCAACUGGGCCGUUACAGCAGCCGGUAUUCAUCUACAUCGUCCUUAAAGAGCUGUUCUGUUUCCCACAGAUUAGUAGUUACUUAAGUUAUCGGGAGAACCACACCCUCACGAAUACAGUGCAAGUGUAUUCAGAUUGAGGAUAUACUGGGUACCCAGCGGUUGACAACCGGAAGGACACGAGGAUCAGAGGCACCUGUUCUUGGGCUGCCGGUGACCAGAGCUGACAACUUGCCCAGACCACAAGCCUCCCUGUUGAGAAAGCAAGCGGACUCACAGUUUUUCAGUGUCUCAGGGAUCCUGCAGCAGUGAUCCAGUUCCUUCAAAAGAUUUAAGUUAAUUUUUCCACGUUGAAACCACUGACUAGAGAAGAGGCCAUGACCCCAGGAGAAAGACCCUGCAACACAUUUUAACUGCACAUGAAUAAAUAAAAGUACCUGUUACAAAACAGCAGUAACAAAAGGGGGCUGAGGAAGCGACCUAUGCCACUAUUCCAGGAACAACUUUUACCUGUGUGACCGUACUUACUGAGAGGUGGGACCUUUAAGAGUGAAUUCAUGGAUUAAUGAGUUAUCAUGGGAGUGGACCUGAUGUCUUUAUAAAAAGAGAGAGAGAGACCUGAGCUAGCACACUCAGCCCCUCACCAUGUGAUACUCUGUGCUGCCUCAAGACUCUGCAGAGUCUCCAUCAACAAGAAGGCCUUCACCAGAUGCUUGGACUUCUUAGUCUCCAUAACUGUAAGAAAUAAAUUCCUUUCCUUUGUACAUUACCCAGUUUCGUGUAUUCUGUUAUAAGCAACAGGAAACAGAUUAAGACAUCCCUGCUAUCAAAAUGUCACUAUGUAAAGUCAGGAACCAAACGACAGACAUGGACACUUAAAACAAAUAUUGUCAAAAAACAAUUAUGAAAUCCUUACCAUCAAUAUGAAGAAUUUUUACUCCCCAUGACAAGGCAUUUGAUAAUAUACUAUUUGAAGGAAUAAAAUCCUG